GAAAGAAACAUUCUGACUGCACAGGGACAGCAGGAUUUCCCUGUCGUGCAUUUACCGAAACCUCCGCCUGGGUGAGCAGAUCUGCGGGCCCAAGGCAAAAAGCAGUUGACUGAAACCAUCUUGAUUUAGACGGGAAGAGCCUCA